UGACCUCGGAUCAGACGUGAUUACCCGCUGAAUUUAAGCAUAUUAUUAAGCGGAGGAAAAGAAACUAACAAGGAUUCCCCUAGUAACGGCGAGUGAACGGGGAAGAGCCCAACACCGAAUCCCUUGGCGCAAGUCAACGGGAAAUGUGGUGUUAAGGUAGCCCUUCGUGUCAGUCUAGGCGUCUCAAGUCCACCUGAUUGUGGCUCAAGCCCAGAGAGGGUGUAAGGCCCGUAGAGACGCUCCGACUGAUUCCUGGGGUUUACCUACGAGUCGGCUUGUUUGGGAAUGCAGGCCAAAGCGGGUGGUAAACUCCAUCCAAGGCUAAAUACUGGCACGAGUCCGAUAGCGGACAAGUACCGUGAGGGAAAGUUGAAAAGAACUUUGAAGAGAGAGUUCAAUAGUACGUGAAACCGCUUAGAGGCAAACGGAUGGUGCUCAUACUGGCCUGAGGAAUUCAACUGUGACGGUGGCUGGACGAGCUGGCGUUCCGAUCUCUCUUUUGGGACGGGCGUCGGUUUGGCUAUCAGCUCUGACAUGGUGCACUUUCCUUGGUGCCUCCGCCACGACCGACGACACUGGCUACCCGCGGCUGGGGUAAGGUGACAAACUGCUUCGGCAAUUUGUGUUAUAGACCCCGGCGUCGGACAUGGUUUGGCCAGGACGUCGAGCUUGCGGCGCCCGCUCCUUGUGGGCUCGCAUGUUGGCUAGCUUGGCUGCGCCGAUGCUUGCACUGGACAACCAGUACAGGUGACGGUUGUGGUCUUGUCUCUAGUUGGCCUCUGCGAGUUUGGCGCCUAUAGUCUGUGGUGUACUUGUGGGUAGACUAUCCGACCCGUCUUGAAACACGGACCAAGGAGUCUAACAUGUGCGCGAGUCAUGGGGAUUCUACGAAACCCAAAGGCGCAGUGAAAGUAAAGGCCUGCUUCUCGUAGGCUGAGGUGGGAUCUCGUGCAUCGCGAUUGGCGAGCGCACCACCGGCCCGUCCUAUCUGUCUCUGUCAGUGGGGCGGCGCAAGAGCGUACACGUUGGGACCCGAAAGAUGGUGAACUAUGCUUGCGCAGCUCGAAGUCAGUGGAAACACUGAUGGAGGAGCGCAGCGUUUCUGACGUGCAAAUCGAUCGUCAAACGUGAGUAUAGGGGCGAAAGACUAAUCGAACCAUCUAGUAGCUGGUUCCCUCCGAAGUUUCCCUCAGGAUAGCUGGCACUCGGGAAACAGUUUUAUCCGGUAAAGCGAAUGAUUAGAGGCAUUGGGGUCGAAACGACCUCGACCUAUUCUCAAACUUUAAAUGGGUAAGAUGCUCGUCUCGCUUAAUUGGAGGCGGGCUUCACCUCUCUAACG
rnacentral:ncRNA from 1 species